ensembl:lncRNA
AAGACUUAAAAUAAUAAUAAUUAAAAAAAAUCCCACCCUUGGGCUCCAGGCUGCGGGGCUGGAGAUGGGAGGUGCUGUAGCACCAGGAUUCCCCACGGGGAUGCUCAGCACCAGCCUGGCUGCAGCUGCAGGGCUGGGGCUGCGUCCCCCCUUGUAAUGACAGGAUAAGAAGGGACCGGGUCAGCCAAAGUGCCUGCGCUGGGCAGGGGCUGCCAGCCAAGGGCCGGGUGGGGAGCAGCUGAGCUGCAGCACCGCAACUGCAGCCCUGCAGUGAGAGCAGCGAGCGGGGAGCAGCGCUGAGCCCCAACCCCUGCAGCAGUGAGCGGCUCCUGGCUUAGCGAGGCAAAACGCACAGCUUGGCGAGGAGCAACGCGCACAGAGAGAGCUGGAAGGCAGCACGGGAAGCAGAGCAGGGCAGGGCAGAGCAGCGCUGGUGUCAGCGGCGGCACACAGCUCCCAAUGCCCGCAAGCUUGCUACAGGGAAAGGGGUGAAGGAGAGGCAGGGACGGGAAAUCAAACUAUGCUGCAGGAUUUGGGGCUGUUCCAACCUAACAAAGCAGCCGGGUGACCCCGAGGAGCAGCAGAAAGCACCCGGAGCCCCUCCGCCACCGCUGCAGCACGCGCUUCCUGCAUCCAUCCAUCCCAAGGCAGCCCGCAGUAACGCAGCAGAAAGACAAGGGUCAUGCUGAGCCGCAUCCUCCUCGCACACAACAGCCGAGCGGCAGCACCGAACAUGCAUGGCUCAGCCGUGCCGCCACGCCACGCCGGAACGGAGAGCCUUAAAAUAAGGGAACAACAUCUGCAGCAAUCACUUCCUAAUUUAGGAGCAGGGAGAUUUGCUGCAGCAGCUCCUAUCCAUGGCUACAGCACGGCCACUCCGUGGGCACAGCGCACGGCUCCACGGACCCACAGCACUGAAACUGGGAUUACUGGGAUUGGCUUCUGUGAGACCCAAACGGCCUCAGCAAUAAAUCACAGCACGGGGCAGGACAGCUCCUGGGCUGGGAAGAAGAAAGACACCUCUGAGCAGCAAAGCUGCAAACUGGGUUCGGUAUCAAACCUCUGCAUUCACACAGCGUUUUGUUUUGGGUUUUUUUUUUUUUCUUUUUUUUUCCCCCAAGAUGUCAAAAUACAAGAAAAAUAUAAGAAAAAAUAAGGUUUGUGAUCCACUACAGGAAGCAGCUAUCACCUGCAGACAAACGCAGGCAGAGCACGGUGACAACAGCAGCGCACAGCCAGCACCCAUCGGCAGCAACGCGCUGCAACACCUUUCCUUAUUGCACACUGAAACAGCAGCCAGGGCUCUGUGUUAUUUAUGAUAACUCAUUCCCUCUCCCUGCCUCUCCCUUUCCCCCAUCCUAAAAAGCCAAUAAAAUAAAACAAAGUGCUUCCUUUGGGGAACACAGCGGCAGUAACAGCGCUCCCAUCUGUUGCUGAGCGCUGGGGAGGAAACGGAGUGUGGGGCUGAGAGUCAAAGGUCUGCAGGGCUCUAUUGAGAAAGGGAGCCCAGCAUCAGACCCAGCAAUGGGAGACGAUUCUGAACCACCUCCUGAAUCUUUUAACGAGCUCUGGAGGUAAAUAUGUUAAUUUGACUUCAAUCACGGUUCGGGGAGGGGAGAAAAAAAAGCACACCGUAUGAGUUGAGGGGAUCGAGUCUUAAAACUAUUCAUGCGUUGCUGCAUAUUUGAUGCUCAGCAAAUAAAGUUCCAAGGUUCUAUAAGGAGAAAUUAUUCUGAGUAAGCAAUAAUGAGGCGCGUUAUAUCGGGCGGAUACUAAUGGUAAUCUAUUAUUAAAAUGGAA